rnacentral:rRNA from 1 species
AACGAACGCUGGCGGCAUGCUUAACACAUGCAAGUCGAACGAGAAGUUCGGGUUUAGGGGCGUAGGGGUGGGGAACGCGUGGGAAACUGCCCUUAAGUUCGCAAUACCUUCCCGAAAGAGAUGCUAAUACCAGUUAAUGUACUCGGACAAAAGAGUUAUCGCCUUUGGAUGGGUCCGCGUAGGAUUAGCUGGUUGGUAGGGUAAAAGCCUAUCAAGGCGACGAUGCAGAGCUGGUCUGAGAGGAUGAUCAACCACAGUGGGGCUGAGACACGGGCCAGACUCCGACGGGAAGCAGCGGUGGAGAGUAUUGGACGAGGGGCAAAAGCCUGAACCAGCAAUGCCGCGUGAGUGAUGAUUGCCUUAGGGUAGUGAAGCUCUUUUAGCCGAGAUGAUAAUGACGGUACCGGGAGAAUAAGCUCCGGCUAACUCCGUG